ensembl:lncRNA
GUUGGAUGGAAAAACCAGAGCGUUGCGAGUGGGCCUCAGAGGUGCAGAGGUGUGAGCGCUUAACGUGCCCACAGAAGAGGGAGGAAGACGGCCUGCCAGCAUGAGGUCCGUGCACCAGCAUGACGACAAGUGAGGACAGCGAGAGGGGUCGGAGGUCAAAGGGUGCACCUAUCCAAGGGGGGAGUGCGGCGGCAUGGUUUCAUCACAUCAUCAUCAUCAAAAGUUCAUGUUGCAGAGGAGAACCAUUGGAGAUGAAUACAGUUUAACAUCAGAUGAAUGUAGUGAGCAACCAACAUUGGCUGGACACAAAGCCCCUGUUGCCUGUGGAGCCCGUGGAGAAGUCGCUCUCCUUGGCUGGAGUCUGGGGAAGCAUCGGCCCCCGGCUCUCCCGACAACCGGCUUGAACGCGACCGACGGGGCCCUCCUCUUCCUCCUCUUCCUCCUUCUCCUGGUCGAGGACCUCGGAGACUAGCGGCUCCCUCAGCUCAGAUGUCACCUCCGUCUCGUCCCCGGAGAUGGAGGUGGUGUGUCGGCACACGAUUUAGUCUUAAUCUUCAGCUAAAUGUUUAUUGAACAGACAGAGUCGAGUGAAACCCAUCCUGUGUGCUUUUCACAGACGGGCUUUUUUGAUUUGGACACUUUCUCAAAGUGGGAAAUGUGUUACUAAAAACUCACAGCUUCUGUUGAACUUUGGAUCCUAAAGCAGGAAAAUUCUGCUGGUAUUUAUCUUUUGUUAUUUACCAAAUGUUGAACUUCCAAGGCCGCUUUAAAGAGGUGGAAAUAUUUUGAAUUUGGUGGUUGUAAAACGUUCCUAAACCACAUGACCAUUACAUUCUCAUUACGUGUGUCUGGUCUAUUCCUCUUAAUAACUUCUGGCUUAAAGAACUCUCCCAAAUGUCUGCACGCACCAGGCUCAAAGUAACCUCAGGGGAACUCAUUUUACCCCAUUAAUCUGUUUCAAAUGUUAAAGCUAAUUUAAUAGCUAUGUUUUGUUUAUGCGGUUCAGUCAGGCUGAAAAUUGCAGAGUGGGCGUCUGUACGGGACAAAGAAAUCAUUCGGUCGGAUUUGUCCGUCAAUAAUUCACUUGCGACACAUUGUGUCCCUUAUUUACCCUUGUUUGUAGCCAUCGACACCUACUAGCCUGCACAAUGUGGAGAUAAUGUUCUUCUUUUUAAGUAUUGACUUAAACGACUGACUUUUGAGGCACAGAAACAAAAGGAUGGAGAUAAUCGCACCCUGAUUCCCACCUCGUGUGAAGCAUAACAACAUCAAACGCAAGUAGUCAGUCGACUCUGAACCUGUCCUAUUCUGUCUUCUGUGUCCUGGUUACCUUCACAUCACCGAGGGGUUUAAUUACCCCUGAGCAAAGCACAGGGACGGGCGGGGCUGGGUGGGGCGGGGAGGACGAGCUCCAUCAGGUUGGAUGGAAAAACCAGAGCGUUGCGAGUGGGCCUCAGAGGUGCAGAGGUGUGAGCGCUUAACGUGCCCAGAGAAGAGGGAGGAAGACGCGCUGCCAGCAUGAGGUUCGUGCACCAGCAUGACGACAAGUGAGGACAGCGAGAGGGGUCGGAGGUCAAAGGGUGCACCGAUCCAAGGGGAGAGUGCGGCGGGUAAGUGGCUCUCUUAUCUGCUUCUGAGGUGUAAAGACGGAUCGCUGCCAGCUGCCCGUCAGGAUCAUCUCGCCAAACCCGAUGGCCGACGCCGCCGAGCUCGUUUAUUCACAGCACUGGUUUCAACAGGUUGUCGUUGUGCCGGUUGCUCACCCUGCACAUCCGUUCGUUCAUAUUUAAAUACACUCACAGUACACUUGUGUAUAGUACCGGUUUUGCCUAUGCACUUUAUUGUUUUAACUUUGUAUUCGUUAAAUAUUUUAUAUUCUUUUGAAAAACUAUAAAUUCAAUAUAUUCAUGCUCCAUUUUUCAUAUUCAUAUUCAUAUUUCUUGCACUGUGUUAAUUUGGCUUAUUGCCCAUAGACCAUCCAUCCUGACAAACUCGUUUGGGACAUAAUUGGCAAUAAAUAGUUCUGAUUCUGAUUACGUACAAGUGAUUUUUUUGGAGGUAACAAAACAUUCUGAUUGUCCUUUUGUAAAUUAUAUUCGAGCUCCUGCGUUUGAGCCGAUUCUGUCGUGUAUCAAUUCAAAGGAGACCCCCCGUCUGCUUAGCAACGAUCCCCCAAUGAGGGAUCUUGGCUUGUUGUUCCAUGCGACAAACCAAAACAAAAAAAGAAGAGGGGUUGGUACAGUAAAACAAGUCUUAAGAAUAAAUUAACGGGAAAUGUUUUCCUAAUCUGUCUAGAAAAACUGAACAUUAAAAUCAAACGCAGUUUGCGGAUUUUUUCUGUUGCCUUUCAAAAAGGUUACCUUUUCCAGUUGUUUCCAGUCCUAAUGCUAAGCUAAGCUAACCAGCUGCUGGCUGAGAGGCAUCCAUCUUUUUUUACCAAACUCUUUGUCUACCAGGCUCAGCAGCUCGCAAUGGUUUAAUGUCCUCAUUUCAAGUGUUCUUUCCGUGUUAAACGGCCACUGGCACAACUUUUUAUUUUUGUGUUGAAUGAAUUUUUGUGGGAUCAUAUUUCACAUAUAUGCUACUCACUAUAGUCAUUCAUAUGUGCCACUUACUCAAGUGUUUUUCUGACCCUUCAUGUCUAGUAAACACGCGUUUCAAAGUCCAUGCUGUCUGUUUAUAUCACAUGCAUAAUAUAGGCCGAGUUCAAUUUCACCAUUAGCUUUAUCUUCUCUAACAUAAAACAGUUUUGUUCCCUAUAUGCAAGUGAAGAAAAGUGGACCUACCGAUACCCUCAGUGACUCAUUACUUCCUUUUACAGCUUCUCUUUUUCUUCUCAUUCCCAUAUUUCCUUGAUAGGGCUCGAGUGAGCAGGCCAGCACACACUCCAGCCAUCUACUGAGCAGACAGUAGAUGGCUGUGUGGUUAAAAGGAAC